GGGAGGAUGGCCGAGCUGGUUAUGGCGUCAGGUUAAGGCUUCAGUCUUAGCACUCAAGUAUCUCAUCUACUGGGAUAGACGUUUCCUGAUGGGAGUAAUCCCGCGUGGGUUCGAGUCCCACUCCUCUCA
rfam:Cladophialophora carrionii strain KSF Contig1547, whole genome shotgun sequence.